rnacentral:rRNA from 1 species
GUAUUAAAGGUCCCGCCUGCCCAGUGAAAUAUUUUUAACGGCCGCGGUAUUCUAACCGUGCAAAGGUAGCGUAAUCACUUGUCUUCUAAAUAAAGACUCGUAUGAACGGCUAAAUGAGGACGGGCCUGUCUCCUGUGUCCAAUCAGUGAAACUGAUCUUCCAGUACAAAAGCUGGAAUAUGACCAUAAGACGAGAAGACCCUGUGGAGCUUCAAACCAACCACUACAAUACUACUAGUACUAGGUUUUUAGUUGGGGCGACUUCGGAACAAAGUAAAACUUCCGAGUACAAAGGCACCACCUUAUUCUAGGCCUACAAGCCAAAAACAGACAAAUGACCCAGUCUUACUGAACAACGAACCAAGUUACCCCAGGGAUAACAGCGCCAUCUUCUUCAAGAGUCCAUAUCGACAAGAAGGUUUACGACCUCGAUGUUGGAUCAGGACACCCAAAUGGUGCAGCCGCUAUUAAAGGUUCGUUUGUUCAACGAUUAACAGUCCUACGUGAUCUGAGUUCAGACCGGAGAAACCCAGGUCGGUUU